UCUUCCUCUCCAAGUUUCUUCCCCAUAGGGUUUCCCGGAGCCCCAUGGUGGUCGACGGCGACGACGCGGGCUCCUGGUGUCACCACGCGUUGAGUAAUCAUGCUCUCGUCGCCGACGUGCUCCUCAGCUUCCGUGACCCGCGGAUCCUGCUGAUCCCAUGGCAGCACCGCCUCGAUCCGGAUCGGACCACCGCGGCGCCCGGGUCGCUUCCUUCCUCUGAGCCCUCGGAUACGAAGACGGCGGACUCGGAGAAGGACGACGAGAGGCCGUCGUCCUCGUUGCCGCCGCCGCUACCUGCGGAGGAGUUUCCGGACUGGGGAAGGCGGAUCAGGCGGUCGUGGACCGUCAAGGUCUCGCGGAUCCGGGAGGCGACGGCGGGGAAGAGCAGGAGGCGGCGGCGCCCGAGCCCGCUGUCAGCCCUGGAUGGCUGCAGCAGCGCGUCGACGAGCUGGACGAGCCGCGAUGGGGAGGAGGGGUCGAGUUCGCCGGAGAAGGCCGCGAAGAUGCCCAGAUCUUUCGACGACGCCGCCCCCGGCGGUGGUCUUCCGUCCAAGGGGGAAGCGAUGCAACGGCUGACACUGGUUUUAAGAAUCCAGGGGGCCAUCGAUGACAAAUGUUGUGAGUCUAAUCCAUUUAUCCUUCAUCUUUCGUCAUGGUGGUAGUGGUGGAGUUGGGGUGCCAUUGGGGUUCGGAGGGCAGACGAAAGCCGAGCUUCACGCCGUGGAGAAAUCUUUGCUGGAAGAGAAAGACGCAAGAUUCUAACAUCAAGCUUGGACGGGCCCAAGGCUCCAGUAGCAGAUGCAAAUGCUGCUAUGGCACUCGAGCCACCUCUUCCUGUAUCUCGUCAAUCUGUGAGCAACAAGUUCUUAUUACCAGAUCUCAACGAGCUACCGGAUUGUUUAGAUUAACAUGUCGUGAUGUGGUAAAGGCUGAUCACUUAUUUCGUUGCUGCUGGCCAAGGCAUGAACGAUCAAACUGCACAGCAAUGUUUAGUAGAGACCCCCCCCCCCCCCCCCCCUUCCCCCCAAGUCCAAAUGUCUUUUAGGUAAAAACCUCGAUAAACUUAGAUAUAUUAACUUACUUAUGCGUGUGACAGUUUAUUCUUUCCCAUCUUUGUAUGUGAACUUGUCAACCCUCUGACAUUUAAAUGUCGAUUGUGCUUUGAGAUGGACUGAUGUACAGAUCUCAACGACUCAAUUAAACAAAGAAGGUUAUAAUUGGGAUGUUACCGUUUGCUGUUGU